rnacentral:rRNA from 1 species
GACGAACGCUGGCGGCGUGCUUAACACAUGCAAGUCGAACGAUGAAGAAGAGCUUGCUCUUCGGAUUAGUGGCGAACGGGUGAGUAACACGUGACUAACCUGCCCCUUUCUCCGGGAUAACGCUCCGAAAGGAGUGCUAAUACCGGAUACUCACAUCGAGGCACAUGCCUUGAUGUGGAAAGUUUUUCGGAAAGGGAUGGAGUCGCGGCCUAUCAGCUUGUUGGUGAGGUAACGGCUCACCAAGGCGACGACGGGUAGCCGGCCUGAGAGGGCGACCGGCCACACUGGGACUGAGACACGGCCCAGACUCCUACGGGAGGCAGCAGUGGGGAAUAUUGCACAAUGGGCGAAAGCCUGAUGCAGCGACGCCGCGUGAGGGAUGAAGGUCUUCGGAUUGUAAACCUCUUUCAGUAGGGACGAAGCGAAAGUGACGGUACCUAAAGAAGAAGCACCGGCUAACUACGUGCCAGCAGCCGCCGCAG